UAUAAGUUUAUUUUUUAGUUUUUAUAUAAUGUUUCGACUCUUCGUUUUAUUUUGAAACUUUUUUACGAUUAAUAUUUUGAUUGUUACUAUAUGAUAAAACAUGGAUAAUACUUUAUGCAUGGAUAAUUUUUUCUUAAGUUUUUUUAUAAAAUUUUUAAAUAAGACGAAUGGUAAAGGUUGAACACAGAAAUC
rnacentral:pre_miRNA from 1 species